rnacentral:snRNA from 1 species
GGAUGGCAGGGAAAUCUGGCUGUGACAUCUGUCACUCUCAUUGGUUGGCAGGGUUAAUUGGGCUGAUCUGCUGGUCCGUGAGGUUGCUCCCUCAUUGCUCCAUGUACUGCCCUCCCAAGCUAUGUGAAUAGGAGUGUGUAUGGGCGGGAAGGGGGUGGUAGGGAGAGGUCCAAGAAGAUGAUCUUCCCAGACUCAGAGCUUUCUUUGGUCAAGACUCUGUCCUCACUAGAACCACCAUAAGGCUCGUGAGGGCCCCGACAGGUUCUAGUGUACAUACACAGGAGGGAAGUUCUUUUCCC